UACGAAGGGGGCUAGCGUUGUUCGGAAUUACUGGGCGUAAAGCGCGCGCAGGCGGUCUUCCAAGUCAGUGGUGAAAGCCCGGAGCUCAACUCCGGAACUGCCAUUGAAACUGUGAGACUGGAGUACGAGAGAGGUGAGUGGAAUUCCCAGUGUAGAGGUGAAAUUCGUAGAUAUUGGGAAGAACACCGGUGGCGAAGGCGGCUCACUGGCUCGUAACUGACGCUCAGGCGCGACAGCGUGGGGACCAAACAGG
rnacentral:rRNA from 1 species